rnacentral:rRNA from 1 species
GUACGGGAGGCAGCAGUGGGGAAUUUUGGACAAUGGGCGCAAGCCUGAUCCAGCAAUGCCGCGUGCAGGAUGAAGGCCUUCGGGUUGUAAACUGCUUUUGUACGGAGCGAAAAGGCUUCUCCUAAUACGAGGGGCUCAUGACGGUACCGUAAGAAUAAGCACCGGCUAACUACGUGCCAGCAGCCGCGGUAAUACGUAGGGUGCGAGCGUUAAUCGGAAUUACUGGGCGUAAAGCGUGCGCAGGCGGUUUUGUAAGACAGAUGUGAAAUCCCCGGGCUCAACCUGGGACCUGCAUUUGUGACUGCAAGGCUAGAGUACGGUAGAGGGGGAUGGAAUUCCGCGUGUAGCAGUGAAAUGCGUAGAUAUGCGGAGGAACACCGAUGGCGAAGGCAAUCCCCUGGACCUGUACUGACGCUCAUGCACGAAAGCGUGGGGAGCAAACAGGAUUAGAUACCCUGGU